ACGUAGGCGGCAAGCGUUGUCCGGAAUUAUUGGGCGUAAAGGGAGCGCAGGCGGGAAACUAAGCGGAUCUUAAAAGUGCGGGGCUCAACCCCGUGAUGGGGUCCGAACUGGUUUUCUUGAGUGCAGGAGAGGAAAGCGGAAUUCCCAGUGUAGCGGUGAAAUGCGUAGACAUUGCGAAGAACACCAGUGGCGAAGGCGGCUUUCUAGACUGCAACUGACGCUGAGGCUCGAAAGCUAGGGUAGCGAACGG
rnacentral:rRNA from 1 species